rnacentral:rRNA from 1 species
UGGGGAAUAUUGCACAAUAGGGGAAACCCUGAUGCAGCGACGCCGCGUGAGCGAUGAAGGCUUUCGAGUCGUAAAGCUCUGUCCUAUGGGAAGAUAAUGACGGUACCAUAGAAGAAAGCCCCGGCUAAUUACGUGCCAGCAGCCGCGGUAAUACGUAAGGGGCGAGCGUUGUCCGGAAUUAUUGGGCGUAAAGAGUGCGUAGGCGGCAAAUUAAGUUAGAUGUGAAAACUAAGGGCUCAACCCAUAGAUUGCAUCUGAAACUGAUAUGCUUGAGUCAAGGAGAGGAAAGUGGAAUUCCUAGUGUAGCGGUGGAAUGCGUAGAUAUUAGGAGGAAUACCGGUGGCGAAGGCGACUUUCUGGACUUGAACUGACGCUGAGGCACGAAAGCGUGGGGAGCAAACAGG